GACGAACGCUGGCGGCGUGCUUAACACAUGCAAGUCGAACGGAAAGGCCCUGCUUUUGUGGCGUGCUCGAGUGGCGAACGGGUGAGUCUCACGUGACUAACCUGCCCUUUCCUUUGGGCUACCUUCAGGUAACUCGGGUUCCUACCGGAUAGCCUCUCCUCCUGCAUGGUGGUGGUUGGCUUGUUUCGGCGGUUGGGGAGUGACUCGCGGCUUAGCAGCUUGUUGGUGGGGUAGUGGCUUACCAAGUCUUUGAUGGGUAGCCGGCCGGAGAGGGUGACCGGCCACAUGGGGACGGAGAAACGGCCCAGACUCCAACGGGAGGAAGCAGGGGGGAAUAUGGAACAAGGGGGGGAAGCCUGAGGCAGAAAGGCGGGGGGCGGGAUGACGGCCUUCGGGUGGAAAACCGCUUUAGCAGGUGACGAAGCGGGAGUGACGGUAAUGGGUAAAGAAGCACCGGCUAACUACGUG
rnacentral:rRNA from 1 species